UACGUAGGGUGCAAGCGUUUGUCCGGAAUUAUUGGGCGUAAAGAGCUUGUAGGCGGUUUGUCGCGUCUGCUGUGAAAAUCCGGGGCUCAACCCCGGACUUGCAGUGGGUACGGGCAGACUAGAGUGUGGUAGGGGAGACUGGAAUUCCUGGUGUAGCGGUGAAAUGCGCAGAUAUCAGGAGGAACACCGAUGGCGAAGGCAGGUCUCUGGGCCACUACCGACGCUGAGAAGCGAAAGCAUGGGGAGCGAACAGG
rnacentral:rRNA from 1 species